rnacentral:rRNA from 1 species
UGGCGGCGUGCUUAACACAUGCAAGUCGAACGGGAAGCGGUGCUUAUCACUUCGGUGGAAUAGGGGCGUGGAGAGUGGCGAACGGGUGCGUAACACGUAGGUAACCUGCCCUGAAAUGGGGGAUAACCACGGGAAACUGUGGCUAAUACCGCAUAAUCUCGCCGGGACGGUGGUUCUGGUGAGGAAAGCUUAGGCGAUUUGGGAGGGGCCUGCGGUCGAUUAGCUGGUUGGUGGGGUAAAGGCCUACCAAGGCGAUGAUCGAUAGCUGUUCUGAGAGGAAGACCAGCCACACGGGAACUGAGACACGGUUCCGACUCCUACAGAAGGCACCACUGAGGAAUAUUGCGCAAUGGGGGCAACCCUGACGCAGCAGCGGCCGCGUGGGAGGACGAAGGUUUUCGGAUUGUAAACUCCUUAUCUGGGGGAAGAGGAAGGACGGUACCCCAGGACGAAGACACGGCUAACUAGGU